AUCUGCUUGGUGUAAUGGUAGCACAAGGGUCUCCAAAGCCUUUAGCGUGGGUUCGAUUCCUACAGCAGGUGC
rnacentral:tRNA from 1 species